GACGGAGGAUGCAAGCGUUAUCCGGAAUGAUUGGGCGUAAAGCGUCCGCAGGUGGCAGUUCAAGUCUGCUGUCAAAGACCGGGGCUUAACUUCGGAAAGGCAGUGGAAACUGAACAGCUAGAGUAUGGUAGGGGCAGAGGGAAUUCCUGGUGUAGCGGUGAAAUGCGUAGAGAUCGGGAGGAACACCGGUGGCGAAGGCGGUCUUCUGGACGGUGACUGACGCUGAGGCGCGAAAGCGUGGGGAGCAAACGGG
rnacentral:rRNA from 1 species